rnacentral:rRNA from 1 species
UACGUAGGGUGCGAGCGUUGUCCGGAAUUAUUGGGCGUAAAGGGCUCGUAGGCGGUUUGUCGCGUCGGGAGUGAAAUCCACUGGCUUAACUGGUGGCUUGCUUUCGAUACGGGCAGACUGGAGGUAUGCAGGGGAGAACGGAAUUCCUGGUGUAGCGGUGAAAUGCGCAGAUAUCAGGAGGAACACCGGUGGCGAAGGCGGUUCUCUGGGACGGUACUGACGCUGAGGCGCGAAAGCGUGGGGAGCGAAACAGGAUUAGAACCGUACGU